rnacentral:rRNA from 1 species
GACGUAGGGGGCGAGCGUUGUCCGGAUUCAUUGGGCGUAAAGCGCGCGUAGGCGGCCGCUCAAGUCGGAUGUGAAAACCCGGGGCUCAACCCCGGGCCUGCAUCCGAUACUGGGUGGCUCGAGGCAGGCAGGGGAGAUCGGAAUUCCUGGUGUAGCGGUGAAAUGGCGCAGAUAUCAGGAGGAACACCGGUGGCGAAGGCGGAUCUCUGGGCCUGUCCUGACGCUCAGGCGCGAAAGCUAGGGGAGCAAACAGG